GUUUGUUUCCCAUUUAAUUUUUCCAAUUAAAUAUGUGUAUAAUAUUCCAAGUGUUACUCUUGUUUUCUUGUGUUCACUGUUGUAUCUCCAACCAGGAGAAUUUACCAGGACGGAAUUACACUUUCUGGCAAUGGUUUGACGGUGUGAUGGAAGUGUUAAAAAAACAUCUCAAGCCUCAUUGGAAUGAUGGGGCCAUUUUGGGGUUUGUAAACAAGCAACAGGCCCAUGACCUACUCAUUAACAAGCCAGAUGGGACCUUCCUGCUGAGAUUCAGUGACUCAGAAAUUGGCGGCAUCACCAUUGCUUGGAAGUUUGAUUCUCAGGAAAGAAUGUUUUGGAAUCUGAUGCCUUUUACCACCAGAGACUUCUCCAUUCGGUCCCUAGCCGACCGCUUGGGAGACUUGAAUUACCUUAUCUACGUGUUUCCUGAUCGGCCAAAAGAUGAAGUAUACUCCAAAUACUACACACCAGUUCCCUGCGAGUCUGCUACU
rnacentral:sRNA from 1 species